GUAAUGAUGUAAUCCCUAGAUACGUGGAAUGUGGUGUUUCCAGUGUGUUCUAGUAUAUUUCAGCAUAUCCAUAGUAUUCUGUAUCCAUAGUGUUGUAGUUAACAACAUAUCCCAUAUAUGGAGAUUACUCGGGUAACGAUAUUGUUAGCGUGCGCGUUGCAUAGAGCUUGUAUCCCUGGACCCUGUAUCCCUGGAAGCAUAUAUGCUAUAUAAGAUGGUGUGUUGCUACAAUAAAAUCGGACGCAUCUCAUAUUGAGUUGAUCGUGCGUUCCCCAUGCGAGUACCGGUGCCUUGAAACAACUGCUCAGUGGGAUGAACCACCAUGAUCACCUCUGCUAAAAACUACAUUAUUUGUGAAUAAGUGGAAUAGAACAAGCUCCAGGAAAUAUUUACAUACUUGUACCUUCAGCAAGUUUGCAGAUGACAACAAAGUGAGUGGUGCGGUUGACACAAGAGUAGGGAGGGAUACCAUCCAGACAGACCUGAACAGGUUUGAAAAGUGGGCACACAAGAAUCUAACAAGGUUUAACAAGGCCAAAUUCAAGGUGUUGCACUUGGGUCGAGGCAAUCCCAGAUAUGAGUACAGACUGGGAGAAGAGCUCAUUGAAAGCAGUCCUGCAGAGAACUCAGAGUUCCUGGUGAAUGAAAAGCUGGACGUGAGCCGGCAGUGUGCAUUUGGAGCCCAGAAGGCCAACGGUAUCCUGGGUUGCAUCAAAAGAGGGGUGGUCAGCAGGGAGGGGUAGAUGAUUGUCUUCCUCUGCUCUCGUGAGGCCUUAUCUGGAGUAUUGUGUCCAAGCCUGCAUGCUUGGAGCAUGCUUGAAGCAGCUGGAGUGGGUCCAGAGGAGGGCCAUGAAGGGCUGGAGCACAUCUCCUAUGAAGAUAGGUUGAGGGAAUUCAGCUUGUUUAGCUUGGAGAAGAGAAGGCUCUGGGAGGAUCUCACUGAGGCC